GGGAAGGGAAGGGAAGGGAAGGGAAGGGAAGGGAAGGGAAGGGAAGGGAAGGGAAGGGAAAAAUGGGAAAAUAAAAGGAAAAGAAAAGGAAGAAAAGAAGGGAAAGUAAAGAUAGGAAAGGAAAGAUAGGAAGGAAAAAAAGGGACAGAAAUGAAAGAACGGAAGGUAAUAAAAGUAAGGAAAGGAAGGAAGAAUAGAUAGAAAAGGAAAGGAAAAGUAAGGAAGGGAGGAAAAGGAAGGAAAGAAAGGAAAGGAAAGAAGGGAAAAAAAGAGAAAAGGAAAGGAAAUGAAAAGGAAGGAAGGAUCGAAAAGGAAGGAAAGAAAGUAAAGGAAAGAAAAGAAAGUAAGGGAGUAAGAAGGAAGGGAAAGAAGUAAAAAAGAAGAGUAAGAAAAUAAGAAGGAAGGAAGGAAACG
ensembl:lncRNA